rnacentral:piRNA from 2 species
CUGUGAAAUGGAGCCAGCUACGUC